rnacentral:lncRNA from 1 species
UAGAGAGAAAGGAGAAGCUGCGAAACCUGCUGUUGGGGCUCCUUCCGUACCAUUAUCAAGGUGGUGCGCUGUCUCUUCGGGUUUGCGAUAGGCAAUGCAGUUACUUUCAAUCAGCUUAUUUGAGGGCACUGCUUUAUGAUGCGGGUGAGAGUUCACUCACAUGGUAUUUUUCAUAGUUCGUGAGGUUAUUUUCCAGUCGGUAAAAUUGUACGCAAUUAGUAUGUCGCUGAAAACACUGCAGUUAGAUGUCAUUUUGGGAUGCCAACAAAUGCCUCAUUGACACUUUGAAAAUUAUGAGAGUACUUCUCGAGUUAGAUAAUUGUAAUUACCAAAUUAAAUCUCAGUAACGAAAGAAUUACUGGCUACUACUCCACUUUACUGGAAACAAUAUGCACUAGGUUUUCUUCAAGUAACGGAACUUUUUUUUUUUUUUUUUUUAAAUCUUAGUGCAUGAUAGCUGUGGAACACUCUCUCUCUUCAUCCCUAUACCCCGUUUUCCAGUGCAGGGUAGAAAAACGGACAUGCGUCUGGUUAACCUCUCUGCCUUUCCUCUCUUCUAUUUCUCUCUCUCUAUAAUUCACUCAGUAACCAUAAUGAGGCCAAGCCAGAUUCACUCGAAAUCAGAAUCGACAGCAGUCAUGUGCGGCAGCACUUAUGCUCGGACUAGCAGAAAAAAAAAAGAGGCUGCAGUUUUGCAGAAAGGCGAAGCAGUGUUAGUGAUAGCCAAGUAUGCGACAAUUACACGAAGGAAGAUUACACCAGCAAGGGGACUCAGGCUGUGAAAUUGAACUGUCUCCUACUAUGAGGUCUUGUAUAUACUUAGCGCCGUUACUUCAGUGCUCAAGUCUUCGAGGUCAAACGAAGUUUCUUGAAGUGCAAGAAAUAUAUAUAUAUAUAUAUAUAUAUAUAUAUAUGUAUCGUAAGGAACCGCUUUAUUCCAGCCAAGCUCGGACUACUACCUCGAGGAUUAAACUGUGCUGCUAGUGAUGAUAUAUGCAGAUGAAAAAGAUGUGCAGAUGAUGAAGUUGAAAGUCAGGCAUGUGUUGUGCCCAUGCUAAUUCUCUCUCGCUGUGGAAGCGGCCGCCUGGCUGCGCGUGGCCAAAGAACGUAAUCGGAAGAGGUGACGAGACAAAUGCAUUCUUCGUGGUUAGGAAAAGAAUUGCCAGUGGCAUCCAGUUGUGUGAGGCGCUGACGACAAGAGAUAGAAGCAGACGCCAAAGAAGUCCCACCCCAAGAUGAGUUCAUGGGUCACUCACGAAAUACCGCAAAAACAAUGUGGUGAAGAAUUUAGUCUAUGGACACACGAACAGUACACGGUGCGAUUGGACGAAUAAUAACGUUGGCUGCUGCACAAAGAGAAAGGCCGGAGUAAGGCAAUUCUUGUGUUUUAUAGAGUCCCGAACAGUCACAUGGCAAUAAUCGCCAAGCAUCUUGUAACAUGGAGCCACCUCAGAAUUGCACCAAACAAAGAUGAUGGAUGCAGCCAGUCUUGCCAGAUAACUACAUUUUGACUAUUCUGUAUUGUUUGCAUUUAUUGUGCAAAAGGAAUUCUCGCAGAGAGUUUUAUCUUCAGUGGCCUUCAGUUGACGUCAUCUGCUACAACUAGCACAUAAGUUAACUCCAUAGCACCACUAGGAUGGAGACAUUGUGUCGUGGGAUGCUUCCUUAAAAGUGGACAAGAAGAUUCUAAAGGAAAAGUGUGAGAUGGUCACAGUAAUAACCAAGGCAUUUGGCAUGGGAAUGACCCAGCUAUGAAGGUAUUAUCAGAUGUGGACAAGCAUACAAUACUAAAUGGCGCCUUGCACGAGUCCCAAGUGUCAAAUGUAAUGAGUAUUGUGCAUUGAAAGGGCCAAAAAUGUUUUGUACAUGCAAGGGAACACUAUGGGCAUUUGAUAGCAGUUGCUUAGAUGUACUACAUUUAAAGGAACCAAACGAAUUCCCUUAGACAUAAGCAUGCAGCAAAUUCAAGGACUAGAUGAAGCUUCAAAGAAACUGCAUUUCAUGUAGGAUAGGUGUGAAUGACCUUUGUGCAUGAGAUCAGUGACAAAAACACUAAAUGAAUGCAGUACAGUGUCUGUAUCAUAUCUUGUGCAGACCAAACUAGCCUGGAGUUUCAGCAUUCCUUGUCAGUACAUUUAAAUAGGCACAACAUUGUUCAAAGUGCAAUAUUCUUCUACAAAACAUAAUAUGCAAGAUGUAGCAUGCUAACUCUCGUGGCUCAACAACUACUGAACCGAAACCUCAAUGAGCAGUGAAGCGUCCUUGUAAUUUUCAUCGUAACCAUACUUUUGCUCUUGAAAGUGAACCUCUUUAGUGAAUUUGCUUGUGUAUUAAUUUUUCUUUAGGCAAGUAUUUUUUAUACAUGUUAAUGUCUCAAUCCUGCUUUCUCUUUCCGGAGCUAAAACAAAAUGCCUCUUAUUUCAAUUUGAUCUUUUGACCUAGGAAGCCAUCAUCUGGUGCUGUGUACAGCAAGCACAUGCUUCGGGCAAGGAGGGAGCCAGCACCAUAUCUACAUCAGCAAGAACCUCGGUGCUCAAAAUAAACAUUUUCUGUGCAAA